UGCGUAGGGCGCAAGCGUUGUCCGGAAUUAUUGGGCGUAAAGAGCUCGUAGGCGGCUUGUCACGUCGGGUGUGAAAGCCCGGGGCUUAACCCCGGGUCUGCAUUCGAUACGGGCUGGCUAGAGUGUGGUAGGGGAGAUCGGAAUUCCUGGUGUAGCGGUGAAAUGCGCAGAUAUCAGGAGGAACACCGGUGGCGAAGGCGGAUCUCUGGGCCAUUACUGACGCUGAGGAGCGAAAGCGUGGGGAGCGAACAGG
rnacentral:rRNA from 1 species